AACAUUCAAAAUAUAAAAACUGGAAAGAUAAACAACCAAUUUUUAACCAGAAAAACAAUUUUCUAGGUUCCAUAUACAGUAGUUCUGGUCAAUGUCCAGAAUUCACAUAGAUGUUUGUUCGCUCACACGGGUUCCACAUAUCACAUGGUUACAUCCAUUUACCUAGUUCAGAGUGUUCUAGAUAUGGUGAUGGCUGCAUGCCACGAUUUCUGUUGUGGCUACUCAAUAUCUUCAGUCACACCGAACACAAAUUUCUGCAGUGCACAAAGGUCCCCAAAAUUGAGCGUGCUUUUGGCAAAGAGGGAAUAUACAACAUCAGAAGAAAAUACAGCAAUACAAAAAGAGCUAAAAAGAAGGGGGAAAUGCCAAAUGGUAGGCAACUGAUCUACUAACACAGGGUAAACCUGAUGAACCAGUGACAUGUCUGUCAACAAGUCAUAUGGCACUGGCUGUUCGAACACAUCAUGCGGCUGCUGCGACGGCAAACUGGUCCUGCCGUUGCAACGCUCCGCAUGGUUUAUAGGUGCUGCCAACAAUGGUUUUUGGUAGGUACUGCUGAUGCCAUGGCAGCAGUGGCUGCAUCUCGUCCUGUGCUUUUGUAGUAGCAGAUUGGCAAUGGGGCCGAUUACUCCUGUGGCUGCUGCGAUGGCAAAGGUGAUUGCUGCUGCUGCUGCUGCGAUGGCAAAGGUGAUUGCUGCUGCUGCUGCUGCUGCGAUGGCAAAGGUGACUGCUGCUGCUCUCCUCGGAUAAAUUUCUCAGGGAGCGGGUGCGACUCGCCUUGCCACGCCCAAACCACAUCCUUAAGUGCGGGCCUUAUC
rnacentral:lncRNA from 1 species